CCUACGGGUGGCAGCAGUGGGGAAUAUUGCACAAUGGGCGAAAGCCUGAUGCAGCAACGCCGCGUGAAGGAAGAAGGCUUUCGGGUCGCAAACUUCUAUCAACAGGGACGAAACAAAUGACGGUACCUGACUAAUAAGCCCCGGCUAACUACGUGCCAGCAGCCGCGGUAAUACGUAGGGGGCAAGCGUUAUCCGGACUUACUGGGUGUAAAGGGCGGGUGGGCGGCACGGUAAGCCAGAUGUGAAAGCCUCGGGCUUAACCCGAGGAUUGCAUUUGGAACUAUCAGGCUAGAGUACAGGAGAGGAAAGCGGAAUUCCUAGUGUAGCGGUGAAAUGCGUAGAUAUUAGGAAGAACACCAGUGGCGAAGGCGGCUUUCUGGACUGAAACUGACGCUGAGGCACGAAAGCGUGGGGAGCGAACAGGAUUAGAUACCCGGGUAGUC
rnacentral:rRNA from 1 species